UGGGGAAUAUUGCACAAUGGGCGCAAGCCUGAUGCAGCCAUGCCGCGUGUAUGAAGAAGGCCUUCGGGUUGUAAAGUACUUUCAGCGGGGAGGAAGGGAGUAAAGUUAAUACCUUUGCUCAUUGACGUUACCCGCAGAAGAAGCACCGGCUAACUCCGUGCCAGCAGCCGCGGUAAUACGGAGGGUGCAAGCGUUAAUCGGAAUUACUGGGCGUAAAGCGCACGCAGGCGGUUUGUUAAGUCAGAUGUGAAAUCCCCGGGCUCAACCUGGGAACUGCAGCCGAUACUGGCAAGCUUGAGUCUCGUAGAGGGGGGUAGAAUUCCAGGUGUAGCGGUGAAAUGCGUAGAGAUCUGGAGGAAUACCGGUGGCGAAGGCGGCCCCCUGGACGAAGACUGACGCUCAGGUGCGAAAGCGUGGGGAGCAAACAGG
rnacentral:rRNA from 1 species